rnacentral:rRNA from 1 species
UACGGAGGGUGCGAGCGUUGUCCGGAAUCACUGGGCGUAAAGGGCGCGUAGGUGGCGCGACAAGUCAACGGUGAAAGCCCGGGGCUCAACCCCGGGUCGGCCGUCGAUACUGUUGGGCUUGAGCACUGUAGAGGCAGAUGGAAUUCCGGGUGUAGCGGUGGAAUGCGUAGAGAUCCGGAAGAACACCGGUGGCGAAGGCGGUCUGCUGGGCAGUAGCUGACACUGAUGCGCGACAGCGUGGGGAGCAAACAGGG